AAUCAACGCUGGCGGCGUGCCUCAGACAUGCAAGUCGAACGAUUAAAGCUCUCUUCGGAGAGUGCAUAGAGUGGCGCACGGGUGAGUAACACGUAAGUAAUCUACCCUCGAUUGGGGAAUAACGUCCGGAAACGGGCGCUAAUACCGCAUAAUGAAGCGGCAUCAUAAGAUGCCAGUUGUUAAAGAUUUAUCGCUUGAGGAGGAGCUUGCGGCAGAUUAGCUAGUUGGUAAGGUAACGGCUUACCAAGGCUACGAUCUGUAACCGGUCUUAGAGGACGGUCGGUCACACUGACACUGAAUAACGGGUCAGACUCCUACGGGAGGCAGCAGUCGGGAAUUUUGGGCAAUGGGCGAAAGCCUGACCCAGCAACGCCGCGUGAAGGAUGAAGUAUUUCGGUAUGUAAACUUCGAAAGAAUAGGAAGAAUUAAUGACGGUACUAUUUAUAAGGUCCGGCUAACCACGUGCCAGCAGCCGCGGUAACAC
rnacentral:rRNA from 1 species